rnacentral:rRNA from 1 species
GGUGAACGCUGGCGGUAGGCCUAACACAUGCAAGUCGAACGGCAGCACAGUAAGAGCUUGCUCUUACGGGUGGCGAGUGGCGGACGGGUGAGGAAUACAUCGGAAUCUACUUUUUCGUGGGGGAUAACGUAGGGAAACUUACGCUAAUACCGCAUACGACCUACGGGUGAAAGCAGGGGAUCUUCGGACCUUGCGCGAUUGAAUGAGCCGAUGUCGGAUUAGCUGGUUGGCGGGGUAAAGGCCCACCAAGGCGACGAUCCGUAGCUGGUCUGAGAGGAUGAUCAGCCACACUGGAACUGAGACACGGUCCAGACUCCUACGGGAGGCAGCAGUGGGGAAUAUUGGACAAUGGGCGCAAGCCUGAUCCAGCCAUACCGCGUGGGUGAAGAAGGCCUUCGGGUUGUAAAGCCCUUUCGUUGGGAAAGAAAAGCAGCAGGUUAAUACCCCGCUGUUCUGACGGUACCCAAAGAAUAAGCACCGGCUAACUUCGUG